CCACAGAUGAAGUAAACAACAGUCUUAAAUCAUUCCAAGCCACAGGUCAUACAUUUUUCAUAAUUACAGCGUAGUUUGCCUGUUUUGACUUGGUCUUUCCUCUGAGUUUGCACAAUUAACUGUCGGGGGAGCAUCAUAAGCUGGAUCACAGGGAAGUUAAUGAAUACACUAUUGUGUAGAAAGCUUCUUGGAUAGGUUACAAAUACUUACCAUGCACUGUUUCUACCUUUUAGUACGUUAUACUCACAGCUUGGAUACUGUAAAAAAAACUCUCUGUGCACUGCUGAGUUUGAUUCAUACAGACCUUAUCACCCACUUCUGAAGUAAUUGCAGUGAGAUGAAGUAGAAGUUGCACCUCGAUGCCAGCCCACACCCCCCCAUCACUGCUGAAAUAUGGGACCAUCUGUAGCUAUUGCUUGAUUCUUUUUGGUAUAUUUCAUUUUCAUAAAAAAAAAAAAAGCUAUAAUUUUAUAUGAUUGAAAUUACUCUUUGAUUUGAAAUGUGAAUUCUAUUGUCUUUAUGAAAUGUCCUGUCAAACCAAAAAGCUGUACAGUGGCUUUGGCAGUUGUAAACCAAAACAUAUAUAUAUUUCAUAUGUUCAUCUUAUUUUUGUGUUUGUAGCCAAACAUGUACUUACACUGAUAGAUUGGUGUGAAGAUAUUUGGAGACCCAAUCGUGCAUAUAUGCAGUUACACAGCUGUACUGUGGAAGCUUAUGUAGAUGUCAGAUGCGAGUUGAGUGUGUGAGCGUGUGCGUGUUCCUUAAUGUUUUUGCAGAAGCCAGGGAAAAAGUGAUGCAUGUACACACACACGCACACACACACAUUUGUUUAUAAUGAAGAAAUGGGAACUAGAUAUUUACCUUGCUUUUGCAAUCAAGCCUUAACUUGGACUUUUUCCAGUUUCUUUCCUUUGACAUUGAGCUUUUCAUGAGCCAGUAGAGAAAGGGUUUGAAAGCUGGAAAAUGUUGUUACAGAAUUUGAUUUGACUGGAGACAUUGAUAACAAGGAUUCCGCACUGAAUCCUCACAAUCCAUUGUGUUACUGAGGGAGUAGGGCACUAUUUAUUAGUGGAACUGAUGCAAUAAAGUGUCAAAUACUUCAUGUUCUUGUGUGUCUGAGGUCAUUUGAUGAGAAGACAAACCCACACAUCCUGAUCCACAAUCUGCCUCCAAAUUCUAGAAUCGACUGUCUGUAUAUUAAACACAUCUUGAGAACUGUUCAGCUUCAAAUCUGUCACGUGGGUUGUUAAGGGCCCAAGGAAGUGUAUUGUUGAAUCUGGUGCGAUUGUUAACAGUGCUUUGCAGUGGCAGCAGAACGGCAUGCAGGCAGUCUGCAGAGUUGACCAUGUCUCAUUUUAUGUCCUUGCGGCCCAAGAGCCAAAACUGGGGCUUCAGCAAUAUCUGGUUCACCACUUAAUGUUUAUUAUUUUGACUUUUUUUACCAUAUCGAACUGACCUAGACAUUCACAGGGGUCGCACGUGCUGAUCUCCUUUAUGGCAACGACAUUCUUACAUUUAACUAUUUUAAUUUCUUGUUAGUUUUAUUGAUGUAAAGCUUUAUAUGAGCUGACUUAUACAGAGCUUUUCCUUUGAAAAGUUGUGAACCUGGGUCUGAAGAUUGUGUCAGUUACUUGACAGACCUCUUAAGAGCAAUUUAAUCAACCAAUUAAUGUAAUUUCAGACUUAACUGUAUGACUCCUUUGCUGUUAAGCAGACUUGCAUUGUCUUUAGUCUACUAUCCCAAUGUAAUACCAAGUAGUUGGUCUCACAAUUAGUGUUCUCUUAUCUUACUAAAGACAUCAAUAUUUCGUUCCUGUUACAACGCACAAGACAAAACUGUCUUGAUGCAAAAAGUGCAUUAAGGCAAUAAAUGAUUCCCUUGGCAGGAGGUUUGCUCUAGCAUCAAAUAAAGGAACUGUGGAGAAAUCUGGUGGAGUCACAGGGAUUAACUCUCCGAAAUGAAUUCCACUGUAUCAGGGAAAUGCACAGUUGAUAUGUUUUCUACCACUGGACUGGAUCUGAUGGUCAGGCUGCUGAAGAUGUGUCUGACGUUUGCACACACAAGCAAAAACUAACCUUAUAGUUGUUCUAAACAUGGAAGCAUUUAUAAUUCAAUUGAUAACAAGUUAUAUAACUUUUAAUUGUAAUAUAUUGAUACCCUUUUCUGUUUUCCCUAAGAAAUCAGGUCUAACAUUCCUAGAUGACAAUAUUGUGACUAACCUGUUUGACAUAUUGCCUCUCAGCUGCAGAGUGUGUGAAUACCAAACGAUUGAUAUAAAGCACUCCGUGGUCAGGCAGAAACAAGCCCCUGGUGUCAGGAAGGAAAGGAAAACAAACGGUUAAAGAAAAAAACAAGAAUAUGCAUUAAAGAGAAUGACAACAUUUUAGAAACUUGUAUUUUGUCUACAAACUAUAAUAAGCAACAGGUAAAAUCCAAUAAAAAACCAUUCAUCAUGUGAAUAGCGCAUCUGAACAGAAGAAGACAGUAUGAAACCUGACUGCAACAUGAAGGAAAAGGAUCUUGCUUCAAGAGGAGCAAUCGUUGAAACAGCCAUUUGAAUAAGCCUGCGAUAGUAAACUGAAACCAGACACCUGGCUGUUACCAUGACACUGCUGCAGAAAAGCAAAGGUUGAUGGGAGUUUCAGAGGAUUCGGGAGGCCCAGCCGCAAGCAGUCAGUCUUAGCUCAGGUACAAUGUUUCUUCCUUGUGCUUUCUAGGAAGCGUUUUUCCUCUGUGUAGGAAAGGAGUCCUCCGUUGGAAUAUCUUCCUCAUGUCACUCGUGCCUCGCCUCUGUGGUGUUGAAGAGAGUGAGGUGGCAAGUAAAAGUAUCAGGAUUGAAAUAUUGAUGGGGCGACAGGUGUGAUCCUAAACGCUGGCAGGUCUUUGGCCUUCUGAUCGAUGCAUGACACGGCGAGGGGCUGCCAGCACGGGCCGCCACAGGCUGAACCACGGACCUCAGCACUGGUGAGUCGCAGGAUGGACACACUCUCUCUCUCUCUCUCUCUCUCUCUCUCUCUCUCU